rnacentral:rRNA from 1 species
ACGAACGCUGGCGGCGUGCUUAACACAUGCAAGUCGAACGGAAAGGCCCUGCUUUUGUGGGGUGCUCGAGUGGCGAACGGGUGAGUAACACGUGAGUAACCUGCCCUUGACUUUGGGAUAACUUCAGGAAACUGGGGCUAAUACCGGAUAGGAGCUCCUGCUGCAUGGUGGGGGUUGGAAAGUUUCGGCGGUUGGGGAUGGACUCGCGGCUUAUCAGCUUGUUGGUGGGGUAGUGGCUUACCAAGGCUUUGACGGGUAGCCGGCCUGAGAGGGUGACCGGCCACAUUGGGACUGAGAUACGGCCCAGACUCCUACGGGAGGCAGCAGUGGGGAAUAUUGCACAAUGGGCGGAAGCCUGAUGCAGCAACGCCGCGUGCGGGAUGACGGCCUUCGGGUUGUAAACCGCUUUCGCCUGUGACGAAGCGUGAGUGACGGUAAUGGGUGAAGAAGCACCGGCUAACUACGUG